rfam:Setaria italica strain Yugu1 chromosome VII, whole genome shotgun sequence.
GUGUUCGUAGAAAGGAGAGACGGUUGGCAUCUCCCCUGACAGGGACGGGAUUUGUCUUCGGACAUUCCUAUAGCACAUUGUGGUUAAGGCUACCCGCUUCGGCGGAUCUUGCCCAAAUUUUUUU